rnacentral:rRNA from 1 species
CAUGCAAGUCGAACGGCAGCGCUGGAGCAUCCUGGCGGCGAGUGGCGAACGGGUGAGUAAUACAUCGGAACGUGUCCUGUAGUGGGGGAUAGCCCGGCGAAAGCCGGAUUAAUACCGCAUACGAUCUACGGAUGAAAGCGGGGGAUCGCAAGACCUCGCGCUAUAGGGGCGGCCGAUGGCGGAUUAGCUAGUUGGUGGGGUAAAGGCCCACCAAGGCGACGAUCCGUAGCUGGUCUGAGAGGACGACCAGCCACACUGGGACUGAGACACGGCCCAGACUCCUACGGGAGGCAGCAGUGGGGAAUUUUGGACAAUGGGCGCAAGCCUGAUCCAGCAAUGCCGCGUGUGUGAAGAAGGCCUUCGGGUUGUAAAGCACUUUUGUCCGGAAAGAAAUCCUCUGGGUUAAUACCCCGGGGGGAUGACGGUACCGGAAGAAUAAGCACCGGCUAACUACGUGCCAGCAGCCGCGGUAAUACGUAGGGUGCGAGCGUUAAUCGGAAUUACUGGGCGUAAAGCGUGCGCAGGCGGUGAUGUAAGACCGAUGUGAAAUCCCCGGGCUUAACCUGGGAACUGCAUUGGUGACUGCAUCGCUGGAGUAUGGCAGAGGGGGGUAGAAUCCACGUGUAGCAGUGAAAUGCGUAGAGAUGUGGAGGAAUACCGAUGGCGAAGGCAGCCCCCUGGGCCCAUACUGACGCUCAUGCACGAAAGCGUGGGGAG